CGCAAUGGGCGAAAGCCUGACGGAGCGACGCCGCGUGAUGGAUGAAGUCCCUAGGGACGUAAACAUUUUUUAUGAGGGAGAAAGUUUAUUGAUAGUACCUCACGAAUAAGGGGUUGCUAAACUCGUGCCAGCAGCAGCGGUAAUACGAGUGCCCCGAGCGUUAUCCGGAAUUAUUGGGCGUAAAGGGUGUGUAGGUGGCAGUGUUAGUCAAACGUUAAAGCCCGGAGCUUAACUCCGGAAGUGCGUUUGAAACGGCACAGCUAGAGGAUGGCAGGGAUGUAUGGAACUCAUGGAGUAGGGGUGAAAUCCAUUGAUAUCAUGGGGAACACCAAAAGCGAAGGCAGUACAUUGGGCCACUCCUGACACUGAAACACGAAAGCGU
rnacentral:rRNA from 1 species